UGCCACUCACUUUAAUCUCAAGAUCAUAAAAAUCAAGGGCCCAGAUCAGUUCACGCAGUUCACUCUUGGGAUUUUGUUCACGUUUGAACCUAAUCCUAUAUAUAUAUAUAGGAUUAGGUUCAAACGUGAACAAUUUCUCCAGCGUGAACUGAUCUUGGCCGUUGAUUUAUAUGAUCUUAAGAUUUAAAUGAGUGGUA
rnacentral:pre_miRNA from 11 species